GACGAACGCUGGCGGCGGGCUUAACACAUGCAAGUCGAACGAAGCUUGAGGGCUUGCUCUCAAGCUUAGUGGCGCACGGGUGAGUAACACGUAGGCAACCUACCCUUAGCUGGGGAAUAACCAGGGGAAACCCUGGCUAAUACCGCAUAAUGUCAAAGCGUCGCAUGGCGCCUUGAUCAAAGCCCCGGCGGCUGAGGAGU
rnacentral:rRNA from 1 species